rnacentral:rRNA from 1 species
GACGAACGCUGGCGGCGUGCUUAACACAUGCAAGUCGAGCGGUAAGGCCCUUUCGGGGGUACACGAGCGGCGAACGGGUGAGUAACACGUGGGUGACCUGCCCUCAGCUCUGGGAUAAGCCCGGGAAACUGGGUCUAAUACCGGAUAUGACUUCAUGACGCAUGUUGUGGAGUGGAAAGCCUUGUGCGGCUGAGGAUGGGCCCGCGGCCUAUCAGCUUAUUGGUGGGGUGAUGGCCUACCAAGGCGACGACGGGUAGCCGGCCUGAGAGGGCGACCGGCCACACUGGGACUGAGAUACGGCCCAGACUCCUACGGGAGGCAGCGAGUGGGGAAUCUUGCGCAAUGGGCGAAAGCCUGACGCAGCGACGCCGCGUGAGGGAUGACGGCCU